rnacentral:tRNA from 1 species
UGGCAGGUAACUCAGUCGGUAGAGUGCCUAAACAUCCUUAUUCACCCCUUGCCUGCAAAGGCCGACGAAUGAGGGUUAUCGCCUUCCAUGCGGGAUGUCGCAGGUUCGAGUCCUGCCCUGCCAC